UCUGUGGAUUAAAGGUGGCUUUCGGGCUGUCGCAGAUGGAUGAGCCUGCGUUGGAUUAGCUAGUUGGUGGGGUAAGGGCCCACCAAGGCUACGAUCCAUAGCUGAUUUGAGAGGAUGAUCAGCCACAUUGGGACUGAGACACGGCCCAAACUCCUACGGGAGGCAGCAGUGGGGAAUAUUGGACAAUGGGGGCAACCCUGAUCCAGCAAUGCCAUGUGUGUGAAGAAGGCCCUAGGGUUGUAAAGCACUUUAGUUGGGGAGGAAAGCCUCAAGGUUAAUAGCCUUGGGGGAGGACGUUACCCAAAGAAUAAGCACCGGCUAACUCCGUGCCAGCAGCCGCGGUAAUACGGGGGGUGCAAGCGUUAAUCGGAAUUACUGGGCGUAAAGGGUCUGUAGGUGGUUUGUUAAGUCAGAUGUGAAAGCCCAGGGCUCAACCUUGGAACUGCAUUUGAUACUGGCAAACUAGAGUACGGUAGAGGAAUGGGGAAUUUCUGGUGUAGCGGUGAAAUGCGUAGAGAUCAGAAGGAACACCAAUGGCGAAGGCAACAUUCUGGACCGAUACUGACACUGAGGGACGAAAGCGUGGGGAUCAAACAGGAUUAGAUACCCUGGUAGUCCACGCUGUAAACGAUGAGUACUAGCUGUUGGAGUCGGUGUAAAGGCUCUAGUGGCGCAGCUAACGCGAUAAGUACUCCGCCUGGGGACUACGGCCGCAAGGCUAAAACUCAAAGGAAUUGACGGGGACCCGCACAAGCGGUGGAGCAUGUGGUUUAAUUCGAUGCAACGCGAAGAACCUUACCUGGUCUUGACAUCCUGCGAACUUUCUAGAGAUAGAUUGGUGCCUUCGGGAACGCAGUGACAGGUGCUGCACGGCUGUCGUCAGCUCG
rnacentral:rRNA from 1 species